UGCAUCGGCCGGGAAUCGAACCCGGACGCCCGCGUGGCAGGCGAGCAUUCUACCACUGAACCACCGAUGC